rnacentral:siRNA from 1 species
GGCGGCUUUGUCUACUGCUUGGG